CACGUAGGGCGCAAGCGUUGUCCGGAAUCAUUGGGCGUAAAGAGCGUGUAGGCGGCUCGGUAAGUCCGCUGUGAAAGUCCAGGGCUCAACCCUGGAAUGCCGGUGGAAACUGUCGAGCUAGAGUCCGGAAGAGGCGAGUGGAAUUCCUGGUGUAGCGGUGAAAUGCGCAGAUAUCAGGAGGAACACCAAUGGCGAAGGCAGCUCGCUGGGACGGUACUGACGCUGAGACGCGAAAGCGUGGGGAGCAAACAGG
rnacentral:rRNA from 1 species